rnacentral:rRNA from 1 species
UUCCGGUUGAUCCUGCCGGAGGCUACCGCUAUUGGAGUUCGAUUAAGCCAUGCGAGUCGAGAGUCUUAGGGACUCGGCGUACCGCUCAGUAACACGUGGGUAACCUGCCCUAUGCUGGGGAAUAACCUCGGGAAACUGAGAAUAAUACCCCAUAGUUCACCACGCCUGGAACGGUGGGUGGAUGAAAGCUCCGGCGGCAUAGGAUGGGCCUGCGACGUAUCAGGUUGUAGGGGGUGUAACGUACCCUCUAGCCAUCAACGCGUACGGGUGUUGGGAGACAUAGCCCGGAGAUGGAUUCUGAGACACGAAUCCAGACCCUACGGGGUGCAGCAGGCGCGAAAACUUGGCAAUGCGAGCAAUCGUGACCAGGGAACUCCAAGUGGCUGGGGUAAUACCCAGUUUUUUCUUGACUCUUCAAAGGUCUUGGAAUAAGGGGUGGGUAAGGACGGUGCCAGCCGCCGCGGUAAUACCGGCGCCUCAAGUGGUAGUCGCUUUUAUUGGGCCUAAAACGUCCGUAGCCGGUCUGGUGCAUUCGUGGGUAAAUCA